AAUGAACGUUGGCGGUGCGCCUAACACAUGCAAGUCGAGCGGAAGUAAUUCAGCGGCAGACGGGUGAGUAACGCGUGGGAAUCUGCCCUUUAGUGAGGAAUACCUUCGAGAAAUCGGAGUUAAUACUGCAUACGUCCCUUCGAAAGAGGGAGAAAGAUGGCCUCUUUGCUGUCGCUAAAGGAUGAGCCUGCGUACUAUUAGCUAGUUGGUAGGGUAAUGGCCUACCAAGGCGAUGAUGGUUAGCCGGCCUGAGAGGGUGAUCGGCCACAUUGGAACUGAGACACGGUCCAGACUCCUACGGGUGGCAG
rnacentral:rRNA from 1 species